rnacentral:misc_RNA from 1 species
GAUGAAGAAGGCAGCGAAACGCGAUAAGUGAUGUGAAUUGCAGAAUCCAGUGAAUCAUCGAAUCUUUGAACGCACAUUGCGCCCGCCAGCAUUCUGGCGGGCAUGCCUGUUCGAGCGUCAUUUCAACCCUCGACCUCCCCUUGGGGAGGUCGGCGUUGGGGACCGGCAGCACACCGCCGGCCCUGAAAUGGAGUGGCGGCCCGUCCGCGGCGACCUCUGCGCAGUAAUACAGCUCGCACCGGGACCCCGACGCGGCCACGCCGUAAAACACCCAACUUCUGAACGUUGACCUCGAAUCAGGUAGGACUACCCGCUGAACUUAAGCAUAUCAAUAAGCGGAGGA